GGGAAUAUGGCUCAGUUGGUAGAGCAAUUGACUGUUAAUCAAUGGGUCACAGGUUCGAGUCCUGUUAAUCCCACCA
rnacentral:tRNA from 1 species